rnacentral:rRNA from 1 species
UACGUAGGUGGCAAGCGUUGUCCGGAAUUAUUGGGCGUAAAGCGCGCGCAGGUGGUUCUUUAAGUCUGAUGUGAAAGCCCACGGCUCAACCGUGGAAGGUCAUUGGAAACUGGGGAACUUGAGUGCAGAAGAGGAAAGUGGAAUUCCAAGUGUAGCGGUGAAAUGCGUAGAUAUUUGGAGGAACACCAGUGGCGAAGGCGACUUUCUGGUCUGUAACUGACACUGAGGCGCGAAAGCGUGGGGAGCAAACAGG